rnacentral:rRNA from 1 species
UACGUAGGGUGCAAGCGUUGUUCGGAAUUACUGGGCGUAAAGGGCCCGUAGGCGGCCCACUAAGUCCGACGUGAAAUCCCCAGGCUCAACUUGGGAACUGCGUCGGAUACUGGAUGGCUUGAAUUCGGGAGAGGGAUGCAGAAUUCCAGGUGUAGCGGUGAAAUGCGUAGAUAUCUGGAGGAACACCAAUAGCGAAGGCAGCUUGCUGGGACGUUACUGACGCUAAGGCGCGAAAGCGUGGGGAGCAAACGGG